CUGGCGGCGUGCCUAAUACAUGCAAGUCGAACGGUCUUUCUAUGGAAGCUUGCUUCCACUGAGAAGAUAGUGGCGAACGGGUGAGUAACACGUGGGUAACCUGCCCAUAAGAGGGGGAUAACAUCCGGAAACGGGUGCUAAUACCGCAUAGUUUUCUUGAUCGCAUGAUUGAGAAAGGAAAGACGGCCUUUGUGCUGUCGCUUAUGGAUGGACCCGCGGCGUAUUAGUUAGUUGGUGAGGUAACGGCUCACCAAGACGAUGAUACGUAGCCGACCUGAGAGGGUGAUCGGCCACAUUGGGACUGAGACACGGCCCAAACUCCUACGGGAGGCAGCAGUAGGGAAUCUUCCGCAAUGGACGAAAGUCUGACGGAGCAACGCCGCGUGAGUGAAGAAAAGGUUUUCGGAUCGUAAAACUCUGUUGUCAGAGAAGAACAAGUUGGAGAGUAACUGCUCCAGCCUUGACGGUAUCUGACCAGAAAGCCACGGCUAACUACGUGCCAGCAGCCGC
rnacentral:rRNA from 1 species